GGUAAAGCUGAGAGCAGUAGAGCCGGGGGCUGUAUAGCAAAUAAGAGACAGGGCCAGGAUUCAAACCCAGCUCCUCACUGCUCUGCUCUACUCCCCAGAGAAUGUGCAGCUCAGCGGCCCAGGCCAGCCCAGGGGAAGACCCCAGGGGUGAGGGCAUUUCUGGCUCUCAAUAUCUUUCCUGGAAAUCAGUGCUGUUUAGUGACAGUCUGGGUAGAGGAGUUAGUUCACUAUAAGCUAGUUCUGUCUCGGCAGGAAAGACUAGCUGUGCUGUUGGCAAGUAACAUAGCUGUGUGCGUCCCUCAAAUAUCCAGUACUUGAUGCAGGGCCUGUGACCAAAUGGACAGAAGUCAUGAAGGAUGCCUUCAGUAUGGCUGGCUCUGACCUCUGACCUCCCUGCCGCAGGUGGGAUGGGACAGCCUCACAUUUCCCUCCAAGAUGUUCAUGUCUUCCGCCUGGGUGUUCUAAAAGGUUGUUCAUCCCCAACACACAUUUUGCAUCCCUGUUUGUCUCAAAUCUGCAUGAUUAAAUUUAAGAGCGGCCCUCCUCACUCCCAACAUACGGACUGCAUCUCUGCAUGUACCUUUAGCUACCAUAGUCCUCAAACUGAAGUGUGUGUGAAAAUCACCAGAAGGUUUGUUCACAUUCAGAUUGCUGGGCCCCAUCCGCAGGGGUUUGGAUUCACUAGGUUUAGGGUGGACAGAGAAUUUACAUUUCUAGUGAAUUCACAGGGGAAGCCAGUGCUGCUAGUCUAGGGACGCCCCCUUGGGAAUGACUACUGUAUGCUCUUCCUUUCCUUCUUGACUUCUAUCCCAGAUAAACAGGUGUCCCCUCACCUGUAUGUGGCUAAUCUCUCCUGCUGAAGACACUUAUCAUUUUCCCCGGAGCCUGGAUGGAAGAGUCACUAUAAGCCAGGCCCUGGAGCUCCACCUCUUUAAUUUAGCAGUAAACCAGGCCGAGUCAGACCCUGCCCUCAUGGAAGCCUCACUGCAUGUGGGAAGAGAAGCAUCUCUGGGGGUGAGAAUAAAUGGGAUUAACUCUGAAUGGGUGAAAGCCUU
rnacentral:lncRNA from 1 species